rnacentral:rRNA from 1 species
UACAGGGGGGGCAAGCGUUGUUCGGAAUUGCUGGGCGUAAAGGGUUCGUAGGUGGCCACUUAAGUCAGACGUGAAAUCCCUCAGCUUAACUGGGGAACUGCGUCUGAUACUGGGUGGCUUGAGUGCAGGAGAGGAAUGCGGAAUUCCAGGUGUAGCGGUGAAAUGCGUAGAUAUCUGGAGGAAUACCGGUGGCGAAGGCGGCAUCCUGGACCGACAUUGACGCUGAUGAGCGAAAGCCAGGGGAGCAAACGGG